CUCAGCAUGGCUUGAUGAGGGGUGCCAGGUCCUCAUCCAGGAUCCAAACCAGCGAACCCUGGGCCACUGAAGCAGAGCAUGAUUGGGUAAACAGUGGAGUCCUAUCGACACAGUGGAAUACUACUUAACAAUGAAAAAAGAACUACUGAUACAUACGACAACUUGAAUGGAGCUCAAGGGCAUUAUGUUGAGUGAAAAAAGCCAGUCUCAAAAGAUCUAUCCAUGUUUUCAAAUUCUUUCAAUAAGUAGAAGAAUGCAUUCCAAGUGGAGGACUAUUAGGAAGAAAGAUCCAGGAUUGAUAUGACCCUGGAAUCAUCUAUGCACUUGAUUCUAAAAUGGAAAAUGUCCUUUAAAUGGAACAGGUUCCAGAUGAUCCUCUGAGGAGCUUCGCUUUGACGUGAAGCUGGACAGAGAUGAUCCAUUGCGAGCCAUUGACUCUGAUCUUCAAGGCUCUUAUUCUCAAAAGUCACAGAAGCAUCACCACAGUUGUCAACCUUUGAAGACUAAGGUAUUGCAACAUCGUGAUGAAGGCAAACUACAGUAGAUGCCAGAGUUGAAGACCAGUCCUCAAACCUCAGGUGGACCCUAGAAAAUCCCUCUGGAGAGACAAAUUCCUGAUGCCAGCCUUAAAACACUGUUCAAACUCUCUCCUUUCACCAGGCUGUAGGGAACAACCAACAGUUUGGCAAAGGACAACUUCCACCACGUUGACUCUGGCCAAUUGAGAUUCUAUUGUCUUCAGAGAAGAAUGCUCACGAGUAUAGAUGCUGAAUAACAUAGUGGAUCUCAAGGAAUUGUCCCCCCAAAUACUUUUUACUUACCAAAGGUAAAAUAAUAAUUUUACAGUGGGGAAACCUGGCAGACACCACCUUAACCAAAUGACCAAAGAUAACCUUGCAGCAAUGGGACUAAUCAGUAUUAGUCCCAUUGUCUCCUCAUAGGACGCUCUGAGAAGAACUCAGCCUUAUUCCUGUGAUAUUCUACCAAAAGCGCAUGACUUGAAUCUAGUCAUAAGGAAACAUCCAACAAAUCUGAGUAGAGGGAGAGUCUACAAAAUAACUGGUCUGUACUCUUCAAAAAUGCCAGUGUCGAGAGAAAGACAGACUCAGGAAACUGUUCCACUUCACAGGAGACUGAAGACACAAGAUGACUUAAUUCAAAUCUUGGAUUGUUUUUGCUGUAAAAGACAUUGUUGGGACAAUUGACAAAAAUCUUAAUAAGCUCUGUAGAUUAGGUAAUAACAUUGUUUCAUUGUUAAUUUCCUGGUUUUGAUCAUUGUCCUAUGGUCACGCAAGGGAAUUCAUGCUUUUAGGAAAUACAGACAAAAGGUCAUCAUAUCUGUGGCUUACUCUUAGAUGGGCAUGAGAGCAAAUGAUGGAAAUGAUGGAAAUGCUCCAUAUCUUGACUGUGGUGGUGGUUACAAUGGUUACACGAACG
ensembl:lncRNA